GCUAAUACCGCAUAAGCGCACAGCUUCGCAUGAAGCAGUGUGAAAAACUCCGGUGGUAUACGAUGGAUCCGCGUCUGAUUAGCUGGUUGGCGGGGUAAAGGCCCACCAAGGCGACGAUCAGUAGCCGGCCUGAGAGGGUGAACGGCCACAUUGGGACUGAGACACGGCCCAAACUCCUACGGGAGGCAGCAGUGGGGAAUAUUGCACAAUGGGGGAAACCCUGAUGCAGCGACGCCGCGUGAGUGAAGAAGUAUUUCGGUAUGUAAAGCUCUAUCAGCAGGGAAGAAAAUGACGGUACCUGACUAAGAAGCCCCGGCUAACUACGUGCCAGCAGCCGCGGUAAUACGUAGGGGGCAAGCGUUAUCCGGAUUUACUGGGUGUAAAGGGAGCGUAGACGGCAGCGCAAGUCUGGAGUGAAAUCCCAUGGCUUAACCAUGGAACUGCUUUGGAAACUGUGCAGCUAGAGUGCAGGAGAGGUAAGCGGAAUUCCUAGUGUAGCGGUGAAAUGCGUAGAUAUUAGGAGGAACACCAGUGGCGAAGGCGGCUUACUGGACUGUAACUGACGUUGAGGCUCGAAAGCGUGGGGAGCAAACAGGAUUAGAUACCCUGGUAGUCCACGCUGUAAACGAUGAUUACUAGGUGU
rnacentral:rRNA from 1 species